GAUGAACGCUGGCGGCGUGCCUAAUACAUGCAAGUCGAGCGAACGGACGAGAAGCUUGCUUUUCUGAUGUUAGCGGCGGACGGGUGAGUAACACGUGGAUAACCUACCUAUAAGACUGGGAUAACUUCGGGAAACCGGAGCUAAUACCGGAUAAUAUUUUGAACCGCAUGGUUCAAAAGUGAAAGACGGUCUUGCUGUCACUUAUCGAUGGAUCCGCGCUGCAUUGGCUAGUUGGUAAGGUAACGGCAUACCAAGGCAACGAUGCAUAGCCGACCUGAGAGGGGGAUCGGCCACACUAGAACUGAAACACGGUCCAGACUCCUACGGGAGGGAGCAGUAGGGAAUCUUACGCAAUGGGCGGAAGCCUGACGGAGCAACGCCGCGUGAGUGAUGAAGGUCUUCGGAUCGUAAAACUCUGUUAUUAGGGAAGAACAUAUGUGUAAGUAACUGUGCACAUCUUGACGGUACCUAAUCAGAAAGCCACGGCUAACUACGUG
rnacentral:rRNA from 1 species